rnacentral:rRNA from 1 species
AACGGACGCUGGCGGCAUGCCUAACACAUGCAAGUCGAACGAUUGCCUUCGGGUGAUAGUGGCGCACGGGUGCGUAACGCGUGGGAAUCUGCCCUUAGGUUCGGAAUAACAGCUGGAAACGGCUGCUAAUGCCGGAUGAUAUCGCGAGAUCAAAGAUUUAUCGCCUGAGGAUGAGCCCGCGUUGGAUUAGGUAGUUGGUGGGGUAAAGGCCUACCAAGCCGACGAUCCAUAGCUGGUCUGAGAGGAUGAUCAGCCACACUGGGACUGAGACACGGCCCAGACUCCUACGGGAGGCAGCAGUGGGGAAUAUUGGACAAUGGGCGCAAGCCUGAUCCAGCAAUGCCGCGUGAGUGAUGAAGGCCCUAGGGUUGUAAAGCUCUUUUACCCGGGAAGAUAAUGACUGUACCGGGAGAAUAAGCCCCGGCUAACUCCGUG